UACGUAGGGGGCAAGCGUUGUCCGGAAUCAUUGGGCGUAAAGCGCGUGUAGGCGGCCCGGUAAGUCCACUGUGAAAGUCCAGGGCUCAACCCUGGAAUGCCGGUGGAUACUGUCGGGCUCGAGUCCGGAAGAGGCGAGUGGAAUUCCUGGUGUAGCGGUGAAAUGCGCAGAUAUCAGGAGGAACACCAAUGGCGAAGGCAGCUCGCUGGGACGGUACUGACGCUGAGACGCGAAAGCGUGGGGAGCAAACAGG
rnacentral:rRNA from 1 species